rnacentral:lncRNA from 1 species
GUACUACAGUGAGGACUUUGGAAUAAGCCAUGAAGGAAAUCAAAGUUCUAUAGAAAUAAGAAGAAAAGAGCUUAAUUGGAGAUCCAGAGAGACUUUCUGGAACAGAUGGCACUUGAGCUGAAGAUAGCCAUGCUUGAGGGCAACCUAACCCGUCCCAACAGAGGCAUAGAAUCCAAGAGCGGAACCUCUUCAUGCACAAGAGAAGCCUGAGGCCCAGAGACAGGAAGGAACUUGCCAAGGUUACACAUGACCAUCUUGCAGCCCAACAUCCAGCAAACCACAUUGGAAUACAGCAUGCCACAAUGAUGGUGCUUCAUGACCCAGCCCCAAGAAUGGAUACCUCUUUCGAAGUGUCUACCCAGAGGAGAAGCACCUCCAUCCACACCAAGAGACUGGGCUGUGUUCCUGGAAACAUGAGCCUUUAAAAGUGAAGCUAUAGUGUAAAACAAAUUCAAACAUAAAAAAGCUUUUUCUUUCACCUGAUUUUUGUUCUGGAGCUCUACAUUUAAUGAAAUAUUUAAUGAAAUAUCAGGGUGGAAGGGGCAAAGAGAGGAAAGGUUGCGCUGCUCCCAAGAAUGCACCACAUUUCAGUCCAAAGCAAAUUAAGUCAGGGGCUCUUUAGACUCAAGUCCCGGGAUGAGAAGCAGAGAGUAGGCUAACGGGUUCUGGGCUGAGCCCCAGCCAACUGUGGUAAUAAAACACAGCGCAUAGACA